rnacentral:rRNA from 1 species
UACGAAGGGGGCUAGCGUUGCUCGGAAUCACUGGGCGUAAAGCGUGCGCAGGCGGUUCGCUAAGACAGAUGUGAAAUCCCCGGGCUUAACCUGGGAACUGCAUUUGUGACUGGCGGGCUAGAGUAUGGCAGAGGGGGGUAGAAUUCCACGUGUAGCAGUGAAAUGCGUAGAGAUGUGGAGGAAUACCGAUGGCGAAGGCAGCCCCCUGGGCCAAUACUGACGCUCAUGCACGAAAGCGUGGGGAGCAAACAGG